rnacentral:rRNA from 1 species
UCGAACGCUUUUUCUUUCACCGGAGCUUGCUCCACCGAAAGAAAAGGAGUGGCGAACGGGUGAGUAACACGUGGGUAACCUGCCCAUCAGAAGGGGAUAACACUUGGAAACAGGUGCUAAUACCGUAUAACAAUCGAAACCGCAUGGUUUCGGUUUGAAAGGCGCUUUUGCGUCACUGAUGGAUGGACCCGCGGUGCAUUAGCUAGUUGGUGAGGUAACGGCUCACCAAGGCAACGAUGCAUAGCCGACCUGAGAGGGUGAUCGGCCACAUUGGGACUGAGACACGGCCCAAACUCCUACGGGAGGCAGCAGUAGGGAAUCUUCGGCAAUGGACGGAAGUCUGACCGAGCAACGCCGCGUGAGUGAAGAAGGUUUUCGGAUCGUAAAACUCUGUUGUUAGAGAAGAACAAGGAUGAGAGUAGAAUGUUCAUCCCUUGACGGUAUCUAACCAGAAAGCCACGGCUAACUACGUGCCAGCAGCCGCGGUAAUACGUAGGUGGCAAGCGUUGUCCGGAUUUAUUGGGCGUAAAGCGAGCGCAGGCGGUUCCUUAAGUCUGAUGUGAAAGCCCCCGGCUCAACCGGGGAGGGUCAUUGGAAACUGGGAAACUUGAGUGCAGAAGAGGAGAGUGGAAUUCCAUGUGUAGCGGUGAAAUGCGUAGAUAUAUGGAGGAACACCAGUGGCGAAGGCGGCUCUCUGGUC